CUUAGAUCUGCUUAUCUUGAAACCUUUAGACUCGAGGGUCUGUCUCCAUACCUCUAACUUCUCACUAACACCGGCCCUCGUCUCGUCUAUCAAUAUAAUAUCAUCAGCAAAGAGCAUACACCAGGGCACAUCCCCCUGGAUAUGACGGGUUAGAGCAUCUAUCACUAAGGCGAACUAAGAAACAGCAGAAGUUGAUAAAUUCCUCUAUCAUUAAAACAAAAGGCAUAUGAACAAUUGAAAUAGUUAGAUUAUAACAGUUAUAACUAAUCAAUGUUAAUAUACUAGGAAAAAAUGUGAUAUAUUUAUCCACAAAGCAUUCUGAUAUCAAGAGGGGUUGUAAAACCUUUUUUUUAAUUGUUAAGAGGGGUUGUAGAACUAUUUGAUCGCUCAUUCUGCGGGUUUUUCAAUGCAAUAAUCUAAAAGAAUUAAUUCGUAAAUCUGAGUUUAUCAAGAGAUUUGUUUCAAUGCUUUCUUCUUCUCCUUUUCUAGUUUUUUUUCUCUGUUUCUAAACUUGAUUUCUCAAAAAAAGUAGAGCCCUUUGUUUGAGACUCAAAUUGAGUUACUUUUCUUCUCUAAUCUCAGUUUCUUUUCCCACAUCAUUACAAAAUAUGGUGUAUGUGCAAACUUAUGUGUAUCUUGAUUAACCCAUCGGAUACCUACUACCUCCCACCAGCAAUAAUACCUGGUGACUCUGUCUACUAAGGCUUAAGACAAAUGAGAAGAAAUAACCUAGUUUUAUUU
rnacentral:lncRNA from 1 species